CUCGGCAACGGAUAUCUCGGCUC
rnacentral:siRNA from 1 species